UACGGGGGGGGCAAGCGUUGUUCGGAAUUACUGGGCGUAAAGGGCUCGUAGGCGGCCAACUAAGUCAGACGUGAAAUCCCUCGGCUUAACCGGGGAACUGCGUCUGAUACUGGAUGGCUUGAGUGUGGGAGAGGGAUGCGGAAUUCCAGGUGUAGCGGUGAAAUGCGUAGAUAUCUGGAGGAACACCGGUGGCGAAGGCGGCAUCCUGGACCAACACUGACGCUGAGGAGCGAAAGCCAGGGGAGCAAACGGG
rnacentral:rRNA from 1 species